AACGGGAAUGCAGGCUGUAUCU
rnacentral:miRNA from 1 species